rnacentral:rRNA from 1 species
UACGUAGGGUGCGAGCGUUGUCCGGAAUUAUUGGGCGUAAAGGGCGCGUAGGCGGCCACCGCAAGUCAGUUGUGAAAGCUCUGGGCUUAACCCAGAAAGGUCAACUGAUACUGCGGGGCUAGAGUGCAGAAGGGGCAACUGGAAUUCUCGGUGUAGCGGUGAAAUGCGUAGAUAUCGAGAGGAACACCUGCGGCGAAGGCGGGUUGCUGGGCUGACACUGACGCUGAAGUGCGAAAGCUAGGGGAGCGAACGGG